UAGAUUCCACUUCACUUGAGAUAUUUUCAUGGAAGUGGAGGAAGCCAAAGAUAGCAUUUUCCCUUGAGGCAUGACAGAUGGACUUUAGGCGAGAUAGUUAGUGAAGGUGAUUGUAGUCUGUGAUAUAAACCCCAUGUUCGAUGACCUCCAUUUCUCAUUAAUGAGGUAUUUUAUUGGUGGGCGAAGUACUUGCUGAUCUGCAUGUGUUCCAACAAAAUUCUAUUGUAGCGUGGCACGGUGGAUGUAUGUAGCUAGUAUAUUCUUGAGUUUCCCUGAUAGUGCCUUCCUUGAUACUCGAGAGGUUAAGAUGUCAUCAACAAUUAGGUGCAUAUGUACUAUACUCAUGCAUGGUAUUCCCUAUAACGUUUUAAAUAAUAGUUCGGUUUAAUUUUGACCGAAGUUAAUUUUUUCUGAGUUUGAUCAACCUUACAAAAUACGCAUGUGUAUUGCAAGUACACAUGGGAAAACUCCCGUGCAAUAAAGGAUGCACAAACGAUAAGCAGCAUACUGCAAGAUUUCACAAACACUAGAUGUCGCUCGCUCGCUCGUUCGCCACAUCGAUCUGGUAGACUGCUAUACAUAAUGCGCAUGCAUACGGUCCCGGCCCGUAUAUGCAUAUAUACAUCAAGAACAC
rnacentral:lncRNA from 1 species